CAGCAGCCGCGGUAAUACGGAGGGUGCAAGCGUUAUCCGGAUUUAUUGGGUUUAAAGGGUCCGUAGGCGGACUUAUAAGUCAGUGGUGAAAGCCUGUCGCUUAACGAUAGAACUGCCAUUGAUACUGUAAGUCUUGAGUAUAUUUGAGGUAGCUGGAAUAAGUAGUGUAGCGGUGAAAUGCAUAGAUAUUACUUAGAACACCAAUUGCGAAGGCAGGUUACCAAGAUAUAACUGACGCUGAGGGACGAAAGCGUGGGUAGCGAACAGGAUUAGAGACCCCGGUAGUCCCUGUCUCUUAUAC
rnacentral:rRNA from 1 species